rnacentral:tRNA from 1 species
GCGGUUGUGGCGAAGGGGUUAACGCAUCGGGUUGUGGUCCCGACAUUCGUGGGUUCAAGUCCCAUCAGCCGCCCCA